AGCUGGUUCUCUCCGAAAUAGCUUUAGGGCUAGCCUCAAGUGAUGAUUAUUGGAGGUAGAGCACUGUUUGGACGAGGGGCCCCUCUCGGGUUACCGAAUUCAGACAAACUCCGAAUGCCAAUUAAUUUAACUUGGGAGUCAGAACAUGGGUGAUAAGGUCCGUGUUCGAAAGGGAAACAGCCCAGACCACCAGCUAAGGUCCCAAAAUAUAUGUUAAGUGGAAAAGGAUGUGGCGUUGCCCAGACAACUAGGAUGUUGGCUUAGAAGCAGCCAUCAUUUAAAGAGUGCGUAAUAGCUCACUAGUCGAGUGACACUGCGCCGAAAAUGUACCGGGGCUAAACAUAUUACCGAAGCUGUGGAUUGUCCUUUGGACAAUGGUAGGAGAGCGUUCUAAGGGCGUUGAAGCAUGAUCGUAAGGACAUGUGGAGCGCUUAGAAGUGAGAAUGCCGGUGUGAGUAGCGAAAGACGGGUGAGAAUCCCGUCCACCGAUUGACUAAGGUUUCCAGAGGAAGGCUCGUCCGCUCUGGGUUAGUCGGGUCCUAAGCUGAGGCCGACAGGCGUAGGCGAUGGAUAACAGGUUGAUAUUCCUGUACCACCUAUAAUCGUUUUAAUCGAUGGGGGGACGCAGUAGGAUAGGCGAAGCGUGCGAUUGGAUUGCACGUCUAAGCAGUAAGGCUGAGUAUUAGGCAAAUCCGGUACUCGUUAAGGCUGAGCUGUGAUGGGGAGAAGACAUUGAGUCUUCGAGUCGUUGAUUUCACACUGCCGAGAAAAGCCUCUAGAUAGAAAAUAGGUGCCCGUACCGCAAACCGACACAGGUAGUCAAGAUGAGAAUUCUAAGGUGAGCGAGCGAACUCUCGUUAAGGAACUCGGCAAAAUGACCCCGUAACUCGGGAGAAGGGGUGCUCUUUAGGGUUAACGCCCAGAAGAGCCGCAGUGAAUAGGCCCAAGCGACUGUUUAUCAAAAACACAGGUCUCUGCUAAACCGUAAGGUGAUGUAUAGGGGCUGACGCCUGCCCGGUGCUGGAAGGUUAAGAGGAGUGGUUAGCUUCUGCGAAGCUACGAAUCGAAGCCCCAGUAAACGGCGGCCGUAACUAUAACGGUCCUAAGGUAGCGAAAUUCCUUGUCGGGUAAGUUCCGACCCGCACGAAAGGCGUAACGAUUUGGGCACUGUCUCAACGAGAGACUCGGUGAAAUCAUAGUACCUGUGAAGAUGCAGGUUACCCGCGACAGGACGGAAAGACCCCGUGGAGCUUUACUGUAGCCUGAUAUUGAAAUUCGGCACAGCUUGUACAGGAUAGGUAGGAGCCUUUGAAACGUGAGCGCUAGCUUACGUGGAGGCGCUGGUGGGAUACUACCCUAGCUGUGUUGGCUUUCUAACCCGCACCACUUAUCGUGGUGGGAGACAGUGUCAGGCGGGCAGUUUGACUGGGGCGGUCGCCUCCUAAAAGGUAACGGAGGCGCUCAAAGGUUCCCUCAGAAUGGUUGGAAAUCAUUCAUAGAGUGUAAAGGCAUAAGGGAGCUUGACUGCGAGACCUACAAGUCGAGCAGGGUCGAAAGACGGACUUAGUGAUCCGGUGGUUCCGCAUGGAAGGGCCAUCGCUCAACGGAUAAAAGCUACCCCGGGGAUAACAGGCUUAUCUCCCCCAAGAGUUCACAUCGACGGGGAGGUUUGGCACCUCGAUGUCGGCUCAUCGCAUCCUGGGGCUGUAGUCGGUCCCAAGGGUUGGGCUGUUCGCCCAUUAAAGCGGUACGCGAGCUGGGUUCAGAACGUCGUGAGACAGUUCGGUCCCUAUCCGUCGUGGGCGUAGGAAAUUUGAGAGGAGCUGUCCUUAGUACGAGAGGACCGGGAUGGACAUACCUCUGGUGUACCAGUUGUCGUGCCAACGGCAUAGCUGGGUAGCUAUGUGUGGACGGGAUAAGUGCUGAAAGCAUCUAAGCAUGAAGCCCCCCUCAAGAUGAGAUUUCCCAACUUCGGUUAUAAGAUCCCUCAAAGAUGAUGAGGUUAAUAGGUUCGAGGUGGAAGCAUGGUGACAUGUGGAGCUGACGAAUACUAAUCGAUCGAAGACUUAAUCAAAUU
rnacentral:rRNA from 1 species